rnacentral:rRNA from 1 species
GUUCCAGCAGCCGCGGUAACACGUAGGAGGCGAGCGUUGUCCGGAAUCAUUGGGCGUAAAGAGCGCGCAGGCGGCUCGACAAGUCGGGUGUGAAAUCCCGGGGCUCAACCCCGGGACUGCAUCCGAUACUGUCGGGCUAGAGGUAGGUAGGGGAGAUCGGAAUUCCUGGUGUAGCGGUGAAAUGCGCAGAUAUCAGGAGGAACACCGGUGGCGAAGGCGGAUCUCUGGGCCUUACCUGACGCUCAGGCGCGAAAGCUAGGGGAGCGAACAGGAUUAGAUACCCUGGUAGUCC